rnacentral:rRNA from 1 species
GACGAACGCUGGCGGCGUGCCUAAUACAUGCAAGUAGAACGCACAGUUUAUACCGUAGCUUGCUGCACCAUAGACUGUGAGUUGCGAACGGGUGAGUAACGCGUAGGUAACCUGCCUGGUAGCGGGGGAUAACUAUUGGAAACGAUAGCUAAUACCGCAUAAUAUUGAUUAUUGCAUGAUAAUUAAUUGAAAGGUGCAAUUGCACCACUACCAGAUGGACCUGCGUUGUAUUAGCUAGUAGGUGAGGUAACGGCUCACCUAGGCGACGAUACAUAGCCGACCUGGGAGGGUGAUCGGCCACACUGGGACUGAGACACGGCCCAGACUCCUACGGGAGGCAGCAGUAGGGAAUCUUCGGCAAUGGACGAAAGUCUGACCGAGCAACGCCGCGUGAGUGAAGAAGGUUUUCGGAUCGUAAAGCUCUGUUGUAAGAGAAGAACGGGUGUGAGAGUGGAAAGUUCACACUGUGACGGUAUCUUACCAGAAAGGGACGGCUAACUACGUG